rnacentral:misc_RNA from 1 species
GAUGAAGAACGUAGCGAAAUGCGAUAAGUAAUGUGAAUUGCAGAAUUCCGUGAAUCAUCGAAUCUUUGAACGCACAUUGCGCCCCCUGGCAUUCCGGGGGGCAUGCCUGUCCGAGCGUCAUUUCUGCCCUCAAGCACGGCUUGUGUGUUGGGUGCGGUCCCCCCGGGGACCUGCCCGAAAGGCAGCGGCGACGUCCGUCUGGUCCUCGAGCGUAUGGGGCUCUGUCACUCGCUCGGGAAGGACCUGCGGGGGUUGGUCACCACUAUAUUUUACCACGGUUGACCUCGGAUCAGGUAGGAGUUACCCGCUGAACUUAAGCAUAUCAAUAACGGAGGA